CACACAAACACACAUCAACAGGGUAAAUGUUAAUAAUCUAACAAUACUAAACAAUACUUUUUGUUAACAGAUCAAGAUGAGAGUUUUGGUUUGUAAUGUGUCUGUGUUGUUGAAACAGUUCAGACCGGUGAAGAGGAAAUCACUUACGCAGAAACAACUUUCCAUAAAAGACAAACACAUAAACCAAGAACUCCAGAAGAAGUUGAAGUGGUGUACUUAGAAGUCACGUUAAAUCCUGAAAAACUCAACUGAACUACAGCAAACGGCUAAAAAUACAUCUUCACGCUAACUCAAAACUUGAAUAAAUGAGGUGAAACCUGACGUGAGAUUUGAUCAUAGCCACCAUAUUGAUGAAUGUCAAGUCUAAACGAGCCAAGAAACAACCAUGCGCAGAGUUCUCAUUUCAUAAAUGAGGCCCAAAGUAUGUUAAAUGUUUUAUGUUUGUUACUGAAUGCAUCAUUUCUGGGUUGACGUUAAACAUGGUGUGAAAAGAAAUGUGGUUAUGUUCUGUUGUUGGAAAUGAGAUAUGUGUUUGACUAUUGGCUGUUUGUGGUCUGUAAACAGGGAGCUGCGUGUAUAUGUAAGAGGUGUUAACAGCAUGUGCAUGUUGGUGUGAGUAUUGUGUCUUUCUUUUGCUGUCUUUCACACUACACAAAACUUAUUAUUGAACUCAUCAAUGCUAAACAAAUAAAAGAUGUUUUUAAUUAAACAAUGUUAUUACUGUGAGCUCUUAGUCUGUGAAAGUAAAAUUAUGAGAUUUAUGACUCAUGACAUGCUAUAUUGGUUGCUAUCAUUAUUAUUAUUUAUAUCAUGCUGUUCCUGUAGCUCAGUUGGUAAAGUGUUGCAUUAACAAUAGUAACCAAAAGUUCAUGCUUCCCAGAAAACAUACUGUACAUACUGAUACAAUGUACGUCUUAAAAGUCACUUGCUAAAUGCAUGAAUAUAAAUGUAUUUCUCAUGCAAACAAUACUAACUUUAGUGGAGUUUUUUCCAGCUUUAGCAAGAGACUUCUUUAUUUCUUCGCCUCACACCUCAUCGUCUCGCAUCUUAGCCACAUCUGCCAUCCUUUACCCUUUUUUAAAAGACCACGUCCUGUUUUUGUCAAUGUCAGGGACAAAUAUAAAUGAAUAAUGUUGAAGAACAAAUAAAGCUGCAGUAUUUCUGGCAUCAUGAUACUUUGAGAUUAUCACUGAUACUCUGAAAAGAUCUGUCAUCAGCAUUGAUCAAGGUGUUUUUAAACUGAUCAGAAAUAGCUUUAUAAAGCCAGAUCCUAUAUUUUAUGUGCAGUAUUGUACUGAAAUUUUACUGCGCGUAAAAUUGUGAC